UUAUUUUGUUUAACAGCUAGAUUAACCCCUGCUGUAGGAGUUAGACGUUAGUGCAAGUUAGUAGCCUAGCAUGCUAUAAGAGCCAUGUUUAAAUGAACUGAUGAUUGGCCAGCAAUCAUUAAAUAAAGUUGAAUAGGCCUAUAUCGUUUGCCUCGAGACACCAGUAAGUCUUCAGUCCUUGAUGAGUGAUGACCUGACUGAAGACAAACUGACUUUCCACACAUUCAGCAAAGACCGCAUUUAUAAACAACUUUUGGAGAUAAAACGGCAAUAAAAGACACAAUAUUUCUACAUUUAUUCCAUUAAAUCUAAAAAGAACUACUAACUAGAGAGGGUCAAUGUUUGAGAGCAACAGGGAUUUAUAGGAAUUAUUAAUCCUUCAAACACGGGAAAAGCGCUCAGUUUUUAUUCCUGUACUAUCAAUGACCCUGGCUACAGACCAGCCACGGCCACUUUCGAUACAGGACACACACACACACACACACACACACACACACACACACACACACACACAGUUACCUGCUACUCUGCAGGACCAGGGUCCAACAUGGAGCCCAGCACACUGACCACCACCUGGCUGAUACUCUGCAGAACUAGGUUCCAACAUUGCACUGGCAGAACGCCAGCCUUCAUCCUGAGCACCGCCUGGAUGGGACAGAACACGAGCAUAAGACAAGUUUAUUUUGUUUAACAGCUAGAUUAACCCCUGCUGUAGGAGUUAGACGUUAGUGCAAGUUAGUAGCCUAGCAUGCUAUAAGAGCCAUGUUUAAAUGAACUGAUGAUUGGCCAGCAAUCAUUAAAUAAAGUUGAAUAGGCCUAAAUCGUUUGCCUCGAGACACCAGUAAGUCUUCAGUCCUUGAUGAGUGAUGACCUGACUGACGACAAACUGACUUUCUACACAUUCAACAAAUACCGCAUUUAUACACAUACAUAAAAUAAACCACUAAAGGACACGAUAUUUCAAACUAAAACAAACUAAUAAAUAGAGAUGGUAAAUGUUUGAGAGCAACAGGGAUUGAUAGGAAUUAUUAAUCCUUCAAACACGGGAAAAGCGCUCAGUUUUUAUUCCUGUACUAUCAAUGACCCUGGCUACAGACCAGCCACGGCCACUUUCGAUACAG
ensembl:lncRNA